ensembl:lncRNA
GGGGAGAGAGGAUAUGUCAUCUGUUUGAACAGAUUUAGUUUCUCUUGCUCCUGUUAAUGGCAAAAUAUAUUAAUCAAGUUUAAAAAAAUGUUUGAUCUGGAUCAUGGGUUGAACAUGUUAAAAGUUCAAGUAGCUCAUAAUGUCUUUGUACCUUUUCUGUUCCAGCCUUUUGGAAAUCUAUAUUGAUCUGUGCCUGGAGGUAAUCAGACAGCUCUCUGGAUUCAUUGGUCUUCCUUGUUUCUGUGGCAAGAGAGUGAUUGAAGGAUAUCUGUCUCAGCUCAAGAUUCCUUUCUAAAAGACCAAUACAAAUGGACAGAGUUGAAAACCCAAUCAGUUUCAAUCCAAACAUCCACCUGGCCUGUGAACAUUUAUUUAACCCUCAUUUGACCAGGUAAGUUGACUGAGAACACAUUCUCAGUUACAGCAACAACCUGGGGAUGAAUGAGCCAAUUGUAAACUGGGG